CCCUUAGAUGUUCUGGGCGGCCCGCGCACUACAUUGGCACUAGCAAAGAGAUCCUAGAUUGAAUUCUUUGGGGUAUUCUUCUAAAUGGUGUCGUGACUGGGAUAAAUCCUUGUAAUUAUUGGUUUUGAACGAGGAAUUCCUUGUAAUCGCGGUUUAUCAGCUCGCGUUGAAUGCGUCCCUGCCCUUUGUACACACCGCCCGUCGCUCCUACCGAUGGAUCGUCCGGUGAAGCUCACGGAGUGACUGUUCACGCAACGGGUUACGAAGUGAAAUGGACCUCACGAUUUAGAGGAAGGAGAAGUCGUAACA
rnacentral:rRNA from 1 species